GAGUGUGUCUCCAGGGCCUGUCAGACCAGGGCUCUUGACCUCCCGCCAAUCGAUCCGAAUGCUUUCAACCCGAUUAUCAUCCGGUUUCUGGAAAAACUUACUGAGGAGCAAUGGAGGCAGUUAAGCAUUGGCAGGAUGGACCCUGUGAUGAGGGCAUUGCUUGCAGAGAUGUGCCUGGAGAUUGUGCGGUUUGUAUCUGAGGCCAUCCUGGAGGUCAUCAUCCCUGCAAUUUUCCGUUUUGUACGGAUAUACAGCCAUGUGUCUCCAGUAUCCGGCAAGUCUCUGACAGAAUCAGAGAGAUCCUCUAGCACAAACCUGAAGGUUCGCAAGAGAGGCAGCAGCAAAUCCUCAAGGUCUUGCACGGCCAAAUCAAGCUCCUCUCGUAAUGGGUCUCAGACAGUGUUGCCAAAUACUCAGGGAGAUGGUGAGUCUAUAUCAUCUGAGCCACUCAGUGACUUUUUUGGGAUUACUGAGGACAGUCUCCUCACUGGUGUCCAGGAUUCCUUCAAAGAGUCGCUGAACAAUGUCCUCUGUAUCCAAAGAGAGGACCAGGUAGACACUCAAAGUCUAUCCCGGGUUAUUGUUGGAGAAGUGUCAAAGAAGGUCAAUUCCAUAAUCUCUGUGGCCAUCCAAACUCCCAUCUCUGGCCGAAUG
rnacentral:lncRNA from 1 species